UACGAAGGGGGCUAGCGUUGCUCGGAAUUACUGGGCGUAAAGCGCACGUAGGCGGCUCUUUAAGUCGGGGGUGAAAUCCUGGAGCUCAACUCCAGAACUGCCUUCGAUACUGAAGAGCUCGAGUCCGGGAGAGGUGAGUGGAACUGCGAGUGUAGAGGUGAAAUUCGUAGAUAUUCGCAAGAACACCAGUGGCGAAGGCGGCUCACUGGCCCGGAACUGACGCUGAGGUGCGAAAGCGUGGGGAGCAAACAGGG
rnacentral:rRNA from 1 species